AUGGAAGAUGUUAGAAUGAAGUCCUAUUUAUCCACAAACAAUUAUGUGGCAUGGGCAGCACCAAUGCAAGCUUCCUCACACUGCCCCUACCAAUGUGCUCACCCGUGACUCUACAAGAGUAAGGGAGCAGUUGCAUUUCUUGGCCAAUUCAUCCAAUGAACUCU
rnacentral:sRNA from 1 species